ensembl:lncRNA
AUGAGUUUCCAGGUCUGUUUUUUAGAUAGACGAAAGGGGACUAAAAUAAAAGUUUCUGUUGCGAACUCUGAGGAGGAAUUCAAGAACACUACAGUUGAAGAAUUAAAAAGAAAACUCUUGUCUGAAGACAGCAGAUGUAAGUCAAGCUUUAGAGUUGUGUUUCUUUUAAAGCUGAUACACUGGUGUUUGCUGUUCCUCAUGUUGUCAUUGUUUGCUUUCACAGAUAAAGUCUGUGAACUUUACUGCAAUGACAAGCUUCUGUUUCAUGAUCGUACACUUGGCUCUCAUGGCAUUAAACACACUGAUGUUAUUAUGAUUGCACCACCGAUGCUUCCACAAUGUCUCUCAUCUGAAGAUGAACGUGAAGGUGAAUUCAUAUUCAGGACAGAAUCUAUGGAGAAAUUAACUAUGAAUAUGUAAAUAUGUAAAUGCUUAAAGCUGUUAAAAAGCUUAAAGCAUGAUGAUGUAUUAAUUAGUUCAGUGCAUCAUUAAUGAAACCGCUGAGUGUUGAUCAGAUAAAGUGUCAUAUCAGUCUAAUUUACUUCAUUCAACUCAAUAUUAAACAGUGUGUGAUGGAGUUUGUCUUUUCAUGUGUCUCUGUACAUUCAUGCAAAUAUUGUACAGUUCUUUUUCUUUUUACAGUUUAUUCAAUCAAACAUGCAUUUGAAUAUUUAUAUUUUGUGAAAAAUGUGAUUUCAGUAAUCUCAGAAGCUCAAAAGUAGAGAAUACAGGAAUAAAAUAUGAAACAAUAUUUUGUAAUGCCA